CACAGGGUUUCCAGUGGUCUGCCUGGAAGACGUCCCUCUGUCCCGGGCUUCUUUCCUCAGCAGAGGAUGUUUAGCUGACAAAACAUUGCUGCACUCUGAUACAAAAUUUAUUUAUGGAGGAAAGUUUCCAGCAGACAAAUCGAUAUGGGAGAAGGGCAGGAGAUGGGUCUGAAAUACGGGAGUGUUGGCAGAAAUGCUCUCCACCUCUCAGGCGGUCACUUGGAGCUGGUGUAUUUGGUGACAGCUUUGGUGCCCU